rnacentral:lncRNA from 1 species
GUCUUGCUCUGUCGCCCAGACUAGAGUGCGGUGGUGCGAUCUCAGCUCACUGCAACCUCUGCCUCCUGGAUUCAAGCAAUUCUCCUGCCUCAGCCUCCCAGUGUAUAGGAUGUACAGGAUGAAAAGAUCCCAAGUGAGGACCCCAAUCAGGAGGCUGAUAAGGAAUGUUAAUCUGGAUUGGGAAGAUUCCAUGGCACUAGGCUGUACCACAGUCAUAGAAAGAGGAACUUUAAGAAGACUAAAGAGAGCAACACUGAACACUUUCCUGGACAGUCCUGUACAUGUUUUAUUGGUGAUGCCCAAGCUUAUCCCUGAACACUGGGAAAAGUGGGAAGAUGUCAAGAGAUAAAAGACAGAGGAUGACAGAUCUGAGAGGGACCGAGUGACUAACUUUCCUCUGCAAGCUCAAAGCAAGAAGUUGACUGCUUUUUCAUUUGAACUCUGCCCCAGCAUCAACAAAUCACCACUCUGGGUUUAUGCAACUUGUUUCCUAAUUGAAUAAAAUAAGCCUGAAUAUGAAAAAAAAAAAAAAAAAAAAAAAAAAAAAAAAAAAAAA